ACUUAUGUUGAACAUCUUACCUACUAGGGAGCAGGUUAUGUUCUAAAUUAGAGAUAAACCAGUGUAAAUGCACCGCCCACUGACCAAUCAAUAUUCGAUUGAUAAUUGCGUCACCGUUCUUAGAAGAUGAGAGAGAGAUAGAGAGAGAGAGAG